AGAAACUUAGGAUGACAACCCAAACCGGAGGCCUUCAAAGCCUCAAACAAGAGAUAAAACCUCUUAGUUUCUG
rnacentral:tRNA from 1 species